rnacentral:rRNA from 1 species
AUUGAACGCUGGCGGCAUGCCUUACACAUGCGAGUCGAACGGCAGCACGGGAGCUAUCCUGGUGGCGAGUGGCGAACGGGUGAGUAAUACAUCGGAACGUGCCCAGUCGUGGGGGAUAACUACCCGAAAGGGUAGCUAAUACCGCAUACGACCUGAAGGAGAAAGCGGGGGAUCGUAGGGCCUCGCGCGAUUGGAGCGGCCGAGGUCAGAUUAGGUAGUUGGUGGGGUAAAGGCCUACCAAGGCGACGAUCUGUACGUGGUCUGAGAGGACGAGCGUCCACACUGGAACUGAGACACGGCCCAGACUCCUACGGGAGGCAGCAGUGGGGAAUUUUGGACAAUGGGCGAAAGCCUGAUCCAGCAAUGCCGCGUGCAGGAAGAAGGUCUUCGGGUUGUAAACUGCUUUUGUCAGGGAAGAAAGCCUCUGAGUUAAUACCCCGUUGGGAUGACGGUACCGGAAGAAUAAGCACCGGCUAACUACGUGCCAGCCGCCGCGGUAA